UUGUUGGGUUAAAAAAAAACUAUUGAAUUAACUUGCAAAGAAAAAAGAAAAAGAAAACGUUGUAGAGGGCAUAUGUGCAAAAUUUCUGAAUAGAAAUUAAUUAACCCGACAUAAUAAAGAUCCUCAUUUUCAAAACUUUGACAAAAGAUCCACUCCACUGGCAUCGGCGAUUAAACACAGGCAACCGCAUUAGAAGAAUAUGCCAAUCGCUAUUAAAAAGUAAUUCAAAUUAGAAGAAAAAAAAGAAGAAGAAACUAGUCGUUGGGGCUCACAAAUUCAAAUGGUAUAUAUAUUGGGUCAUAACACAAGUUGUCCAUUUUUCUUCAUAACAAAUCUCUUCUUCUUCCUCCUCAAUUCUCUCUAUUUCUCUCUCUAAACGCUCCUCCCUCUUUCUCUCUCUCAAUGCUCCUCUCUCUCUCUCUUUCUCUGAUUCUGUUUGAAAAGCUUGCUGUGCAUAGAUCUGCAUUGUACUUAUCUUGAGAAUUCCACCCCGCAGAGAGACUUUACGGUUAAGAAUUUUUUAUUAGAGAUUUAUAAUGAAAAUGUCAGGGACCUGCUGAACUCAGAAUCAGAAAGGUGCUGUGGUCGAGAAGUUGGUUGAAGAAACAACAACCGAUGAUCAGCAUUUGAGGCAUCUUAUAAGUAUGUGUGACUAGUGAAGAACUGUAUUUUUGCGUUGGCCUUUCUGAAAUCACCCAUGAUUUUCAGAAUUUUGUAGACCUUGCUGGAAGUGAAAGAGCUUCACAGACACAUGCAGAUGGGGCGAGGCUCAGAGAAGGCGAUCAUAUCAAUCUUAGUUUGAUAACUCUCACAACUAUGAUAAGAAAGCUCAGUGUUGCGAAAAGAAGCGGUCAUAUACCCUACGGGGACUCCAGCUUCCCGGCAAGUUUUGGAAAAUGAGAUUGAAACAGAGCACCAGAAAAUGAAGACUUUAUUUCAUAUCCGGUGAGACCCAGCCAGAGUCUGUGAAAGAGACUUCUACAAUAUGUGGAGACGUUUCAUCAAAGGAAGGAACUCCAGGCUAUCGUCAUUCUAUUUCUGUUAAUACGAACAAAAUGCAGAAGGUGGCUUAGAAUGCAGCAGAGGAGAAUGUGAGAAGCAUAAGAGCUUAUGUGACAGAAUUGAAGGAACAUGUUGCGAAACUGCAGUACCAAAAGCAGCUACUUGUUUGCUAGGUCAUUGAGCUGGAAGCAAAUGAAGCGGCAUUUGGCAGAAAUAGGCAAUUCAAGCCCUGCUCCUCAUGUUGGAGAUGAGCUUACAAUUUCUAUCGUCAAGCUCGAGCAAUGAGACGUGAAAGAGAGUUUCUGGCAAAGAGGUUGACUUCACGUUUUAAAUGAAAGUGCUGAGAUAGUGGUAAAGCUUGUAGGAUUAUGUGAGAAUUCCAUUUGAGCUAAAUUUUGCACUACCAACAGAUAACAAACCCUGGAUUAUGGGGUGGAACCCAAUUUCAAACCUUCUACAUUUCUGACAAUUACAUUUUUCAUUUGUAAGUAUUUCCUAUUUCUGUACUUGUAAAUGAAUUUUAGAGGUUUUUUCUCCAUGCAUCAUUUGUUUAUAUCUUUACUUUUGCUCAAAAUUAUGGUGUCACCAAUGGGCAUGGAUAUGGCAAUCUUAAUAUUUUAAUAACAAAAGAAUUGAUUUAUCUUGUUUCCAUAUGAUCUAUUAUUUCCUCUGUUUCCCACUUGUGAAUUGUAAAAUACCAAACAGUUUAAUUGAUGUUUCCUUUUCUCCUUUCCUAUCAAGAAUACCAACAAUAUUAGUAAACUUUACAAAUUUCUACAAGUGUGACUCUGCAAUAAAAACUAAGUUAUACAAUACUUUUGUGUCUUUUUUAAGUCCUUUAAUUGUCUAAAUUCUUCCUUUAUCAUUUGUAUCCAUCAUAAUUAGAUAAAUUGGCUACUUUCGGGGCAUUGUAGAAGAAAAACUUCUACUUCAGGACCCAUACUUACCGGUAAUAGUAAUAGGCUGUUUCUUUUCCAACAUUAUUAUGUCUAUUUUAAACUUAUCAUCUUUACUUCUUUCUUUUUAUAUUCCUUAAUGAGUUCAAAUUACAUUACUGUAUUAUAAUUGUGUGUAGUCUGAAUUGAAACAAACAUAUGAGUAGUAGUAAUUAAGAGUCCAUUAGAAUCUAAUAAAAUUUAUUAAAGAAAAUAUGGCUUAUAACUGAAGAUAAUUAAAUUUUCCAUUACAAUAGUCAUAAUAUUGUUUGAGGCAUACAUUUAUGAUAUAGCAAUCGAGUAUAACAUUUUAUUUUGUUGGUUUAGCUUCUUUUGUCGGUGGAAGUAUUAAAUUUAAUAGUUUAUUAAUUUAUUACUGAUUGUGCUACAGUUCAAAUGCAAGUUUAUUUUUUGUUAUCUCUUUUCCAGUAGUUCUAAUAUUAUUUUAUAGUUGUUCUUAAUUCGCUUUUAAUUUCUUUUAUUUUAUAAUUUAUUUGUUUAUUUGCAUUUUUAUUUGUUAAUGUCCUUUACUAAUCUAAAUUUUUUCAUAAUGACAGAUUCUACUUAUCCGGUUUAGAGAUCCUAAGCGAUCUUCUUUAAACUUUUAGGAUUAGUUUUUAGUUAAUUAAUUAGUUUUUCUUAUUUGAUUGUUUUGAGGCUUUUAAGCCAUGGUUGUAAUUAAUUUCCCUUAAUCGUCCUGAUCUCCUUAACCCCUUUCUAGAUUUCUUUUUUC